UGACCAUUAAAUUCCCAAUCUCUGAAGUAGGCCGUCAUCUUUACCUCCAACCAUAGAGGGCAGUGUUGCCAUAGAAUACCUGAGAAAGGCUUUCACAAGAAAGGACUUUAUUAUUGAAAAUGUUACUUAAAAAAAAAAAAAAAACCUUUUGUUUGUUUUGGUUGACUAAUAAUUCUCGCUGCAUACUUAAUGUGGACAUUGUAUUCUUAUUUGUUUUACAAGAGUGUUUACAUUUUUACCACACAUGCCUUUAUUUUGAAGUCUGGAAAAGGAAGUGCAGCGGCACCCUGUGUGUUCAUUGGCGCACUUUUUACGUGAAACAUCAUUCUGAUUUAAUGUUACCAGAGAAAGGAUGAACUUUUGGGUACACACUGUACAAAUGUUUGUUUAAAAAGGUUUCUUUCUACAUCUUAGCUCCUGGCUGAAGGGCACAAGCUCUUACGGUGUUUUUGGAAAUGAAAUUCUUUACAAACAUCAGUUCCUGAGAGUAAAUUGCAUCUGUUCAGCCGGGAAUGCUACACGAACUAUUGGAGUGUGGUUCCUGAGAUGCCCUUUGUCAUGAGGGUUGGCAGGAGGAUCUGGUUCUGCAGAAGAGAGUCAUAUUGGUUUGGAAUGACAUGAUAAUGAGUAGCUUAUGGAAUAAUACUGAAUUCAGAUACUGAAUUGAGAUGACAAAAAGGCACAAUAAAACCAACAAAAAUAUCCAUUAUGAUAAUUAAAACAGUUUUUAUUAGUAUACGCAUAUGUCAUCUUUCAAAAUCAAUAUAAAACUAUAUCAGCAUAAAAAAACUACAAUUCAGUAACAAAUAUAUACAUAUAUAAAAAAUUAAGGUCAGGCAAAGUUACAGUAAAAAAAAAAAAUCAAUUCACAUUUUAUAAAACGAAUGUUUUUACAUUCAAUAAUUCAUUUAUCAUAAUUUAAAUAUUCUAUAUUACAGUAGUAAUACUUAAAUGAAUCACUUGCUCUUGUUUUUAGGAUGGUGAUUCUCAUUCAUUACUGGCUCUUGAGUUUCUUCUUGUUCAU